GAUGAACGCUGGCGGCGUGCCUAAUACAUGCAAGUCGAGCGAACAGACGAGGAGCUUGCUCCUCUGACGUUAGCGGCGGACGGGUGAGUAACACGUGGAUAACCUACCUAUAAGACUGGGAUAACUUCGGGAAACCGGAGCUAAUACCGGAUAAUAUAUUGAACCGCAUGGUUCAAUAGUGAAAGACGGUUUUGCUGUCACUUAUAGAUGGAUCCGCGCCGCAUUAGCUAGUUGGUAAGGUAACGGCUUACCAAGGCGACGAUGCGUAGCCGACCUGAGAGGGUGAUCGGCCACACUGGAACUGAGACACGGUCCAGACUCCUACGGGAGGCAGCAGUAGGGAAUCUUCCGCAAUGGGCGCAAGCCUGACGGAGCCACGCCGCGUGGGUGAUGAAGGUCUUCGGAUCGUAAAGCUCUGUUGUUGGGGAAGAAAAAAUGUGUAAGUAACUCUGCACGUCUUGACGGUACCUAAUCAGAAAGCCCCGGCUAACUACGUG
rnacentral:rRNA from 1 species